AUUGAACGCUGGCGGCAUGCCUUACACAUGCAAGUCGAACGGUAACAGGUCUUCGGAUGCUGACGAGUGGCGAACGGGUGAGUAAUACAUCGGAACGUGCCCGAGAGUGGGGGAUAACGAGGCGAAAGCUUUGCUAAUACCGCAUACGAUCUCAGGAUGAAAGCAGGGGACCGCAAGGCCUUGCGCUCACGGAGCGGCCGAUGGCAGAUUAGGUAGUUGGUGGGAUAAAAGCCUACCAAGCCGACGAUCUGUAGCUGGUGUGAGAGGAGGACCAGCCACAUUGGGACUGAGACACGGCCCAGACUCCUACGGGAGGCAGCAGUGGGGAAUUUUGUACAGUGGGCGCAAGCCUGAUCCAGCCAUGCCGCGUGCAGGAUGAAGGCCGUCGGGUUGUAAACUGCUUUUGUACGGAACGAAAAGACUCUGGUUAAUACCUGGGGUCCAUGACGGUACCGUAAGAAUAAGCACCGGCUAACUACGUGCCAGCCGCCGCCGUAAUAC
rnacentral:rRNA from 1 species